UACGUAGGGUGCAAGCGUUAAUCGGAAUUACUGGGCGUAAAGCGUGCGCAGGCGGUUUUGUAAGUCUGUCGUGAAAGCCCCGGGCUCAACCUGGGAAUUGUGAUGGAGACUGCAAGGCUUGAAUCUGGCAGAGGGGGGUAGAAUUCCACGUGUAGCAGUGAAAUGCGUAGAGAUGUGGAGGAACACCGAUGGCGAAGGCAGCCCCCUGGGU
rnacentral:rRNA from 1 species